rnacentral:rRNA from 1 species
GGGCGGUGGCGGCGUGCUUACACAUGCAGUCGAACGAUGAUGCCCAGCUUGCUGGGUGGAUUAGUGGCGAACGGGUGAGUAACACGUGAGUAACCUGCCCCUGACUCUGGGAUAAGCGUUGGAAACGACGUCUAAUACUGGAUAUGAUCGCCGGCCGCAUGGUCUGGUGGUGGAAAGAUUUUUUGGUUGGGGAUGGACUCGCGGCCUAUCAGCUUGUUGGUGAGGUAAUGGCUCACCAAGGCGACGACGGGUAGCCGGCCUGAGAGGGUGACCGGCCACACUGGGACUGAGACACGGCCCAGACUCCUACGGGAGGCAGCAGUGGGGAAUAUUGCACAAUGGGCGAAAGCCUGAUGCAGCAACGCCGCGUGAGGGAUGACGGCCUUCGGGUUGUAAACCUCUUUUAGUAGGGAAGAAGCGAAAGUGACGGUACCUGCAGAAAAAGCACCGGCUAACUACGUGCCAGCAGCCGCGGUAAUACGUAGGGUGCAAGCGUUGUCCGGAAUUAUUGGGCGUAAAGAGCUCGUAGGCGGUUUGUCGCGUCUGCUGUGAAAUCCCGAGGCUCAACCUCGGGCUUGCAGUGGGUACGGGCAGACUAGAGUGCGGUAGGGGAGAUUGGAAUUCCUGGUGUAGCGGUGGAAUGCGCAGAUAUCAGGAGGAACACCGAUGGCGAAGGCAGAUCUCUGGGCCGUAACUGACGCUGAGGAGCGAAAGCAUGGGGAGCGAACAGGUAAACCCCC